rnacentral:lncRNA from 10 species
UGAUUUCACAAGAAGUACAAAUGAUAUGAUCAUGGCCACAGACUUAGCAAUUUUUUUCCAACCAGGAAUCACAGACAAGGAUUUCACAGAAUCAACUGAACCAUUAUUUGUUCAACUUGCUAAAACCUGAGUCAACAGUUCUUUAAGAUCCCAAACUCUGGGAUUCUCAGUUUAGAAGUGCGGAGCAAGGAGUCUGUGAGACUCUGUGGGCUAGAAUACAUACGGACAGUCAUCUAUAUCUGUGCUAGCUCCAGGUGGAGAAGGCAUCAGGAGGGGAUCCCUCAAGCUCAGCAAGGUAACAGUAACUCAUGUGUCUCCUCUAUUUUCCUUUCACAUGUCUCUUUUAUUUUUUCAAGCUGUGUUUUAAACCAUUAUUUUAUUAAGUGUUUCUCUAAGUACUGUUGAGGCAUUUUUUAUGUCAAUUUAAGGGAUUAAUUAUCAAAAUAUACUGAAUUUGGCUUGGGAAAGUGAUGAGCAUGCUACCUUUCAAAAAAUAACUACCUCAUUUUUUAGUCCCCUGCUUGAAAUCAUUUAAUCGCAUGACUACUUCAAUGGGCUCAGCAUCUGUGGAAGGUACUUUGGAGGCUAUGGCGAAGCAUGUGAUUUCAAGGAGCGUGUUGAAGUAGCAAGACUUUCACUCAUGAAUAAUUGUACAAUAUAAUAAGUUAGAAUUCCGGCAGUUGUUAAAUAUGGAUGCAAGGAAAGAAGCUGACCUUAAUUGAGCACUUUUAAGUGCUGGGAAGUUACAUGUGCAACAUUUCAUUCAGCUUUCUGAUAAGGAUCCUGGGAAGCAAGCAAAAUUACCACCAUUUAUCAUUUUACCAAGAAGAAAAUUCUUCUCCCAGCUGGUGAAAAUGUGGUUAGGUAGGAAACUGGGUCUAUCUGGCUUCAAGAGCCAAGGUCUUUACUAAUUCCAUACUGAGUCUCGGGUGGGAAAGAGAAUGUUACAAAAUGUCACCUAUUACAAAAUGUCACCUAUUUUGUAAUAGGUGACAGCAUCAUGGAGGUGGUGGUUACUGACAGAGGCCCUGAAGGAUUUGGGGAUUAUGGAAGGUGGUGGGGAAGCAGGGUGGGAAUUCUAGUAGUAGGAAUUGUCUGAUCAGGAUUUUGAAGGAAGAAAUGAACCAAAUGUCUUUCAGAAACGGUGAAGCGGCUGACUUCACUAUAUUUCUUUAUUAUUCAAUUCAACUAACUUAAAAAUUUGACUGAAAUUCUUUCUGUUAAUUCCAUAUUAAAGUAUGAGGUAGAAUUUAUUUAAAAUCCUAUUUUUAGAUUUUUAUUUAUUUAUUUAUUUAUUUGAUUGGAGACAGGGUCUUGCCCUCUCACCCAGGCUGGCACAAUCAUAGCUCACUGAAGCCUCAAACCCCUGCACUCAAGUGAUCCUCACACCUCAGCCUCUUGAGUAGGUAGGACUACAGGUGUGUGCCACCACAUCUGGCUAAUUUUUAAAUAUUUUGUAGAGGUGGGGUCUUGCAAUGUUGCCCAGGCUGGUCUCAAACUCCUGGCUUCAAGCAAUCUUCCGUCUCGGCCUCCCAGAGCACUGGGAUUACAGGCAUAAGCCACUGGGCAUGGCUGAAAAUCCUAUUUAAAAAAUUAUUUUUUUAAUUGGUAAAAAUUAUAUACAUUUAUUGUGUACAACAUAUUGUUUUGAAAUAGGUAUACAUACAAUAUACAUGUGGAAUAGCUAAAUCAAGCUAAUUAACAUAUGCAUUACCUCACAUACUUAUGUUUUUGUGAUGAGGACACUUGAAAUCUACUCUUUUAGCAAUUUCAGGAAUACAAUGCAUUUUUAUUAACUAUAGUCACCAUGUUGUACAAUAGACUUCUUGAAAUUAUUCCUUCUAAUGGAAAUUCUGUACUCUUGACCAUCUCUUCCCCAACCAUCCCCCUCACCCUCACCCUCUGAUAACCAUCGUUCUCCGCUAUACAUUUUUGAGUUUGACGUUUUUAGAUUCCACAUAUCAGUGAGAUCAUGUGGUGUUUGUCUUUCUGUGCCUUGCUUAAGAGUGUAUUUUAAUAAUUGGUUGUAUUUGCUAUGUUUUAUACUAAAAAGUUAAAAAGGAAAAAUGUGAUUACAUAAUAAAUGUUGCGACUAUAUGUAUGAUUGUUAAGGUUUCAGUUUAAUUUAAAAUGAUGUUGGUAAUAAAAACCUUUUAGAAAAUGACCUAAACUGUUCAUCUUUGGGUGGGCUAAUGUGUUGAAAAAGCAUGUAUUUUCCAUUUUCAGUACCACUUUAAUAUUGAAGUUCAUAUGACUAGUUGCUAACAAAAAUUAUAUGGGUUUUUAAUCUUAAGAGAGUAAGCAUAAUUUACCAGGAUUUACAACAAUCUCUGUAAUAGCAAACCAAAAUGCACUAUAAAAAUACAUUUGGGAUAUCUCUGAAACACAUAGGGGAGUGGAAUGGAUAUCUAUAAGGCUAGCUCUGUUGGACAUCACUGAAAUCAUACUACUUAUUAUUCAAUCUUUCUCAGAUUUUCAGUGUUUUCCCACACAUUAUUUAUCUGAUCAAUUACUGGUUUACCAACCAGCAUCUGUUCACCUAGUUUUUCAUGGUGCCUGCUGGUGUGCUAAGGCAUUGAUAAGUCAAUUUGAACUAAAUUAAAGUGAGAGAAGCUUAUAUAUGAACUUUGGAAACAACACUUAGGCAAAAACUGUGAAUUUCACUUUUUAUUUUCAGAUAUAGAGGUUUAAAUCUCCAUUUCCUUCUUUACUGAUCGAGAUUGCAGGGCAUACACAGGGUUUUUUUUUGUUUAUGUGUUUUUUGUUUAUAGCACAUAACUAAUAUUGGAAGCUGCUGGUCAUCCAGCAGAGGUAGCGAGUAAAAGAAGUCAAGUCCCGACUAGCUGAGCAACACUGACUGUCACUCCUCAUCUUUGCACUCAAGUUUCUGCCUCUGUAAAAUGAGGACAGUGGAGAUGACUGUGCUCUCCCCAAAAUGUCUAAUCUCUCUGAAACCAGGCCAACAUUUUAAAAAAUUAUGUGUAUGAUUCUAUUUCAUUUUAGGGAUCCAGUUCAUUUCCCCAGGAGUGGAAUGUGGUUGCUGCCUUCUUUGUAGGAGCUGUCUAAGGAUGUAUUAUUUUUUUCUCUUCCAUACAGCUGAGACAGGAAACUCCUUCCAGCUCCCACAUAAACGUGAGUUUUCUGAGGAAAAUCCAGCGCAAAACCUUCCGAAGGUGGAUGCCUCAGGGGAAGACCGUCUUUGGGGUGGACAGAUGCCCACUGAAGAGCUUUGGAAGUCAAAGAAGCAUUCAGUGAUGUCAAGACAAGAUUUACAAACUUUGUGUUGCACUGAUGGCUGUUCCAUGACUGAUUUGAGUGCUCUUUGCUAAGACAAGAGCAAAUACCCAAUGGGUGGCAGAGCUUUAUCACAUGUUUAAUUACAGUGUUUUACUGCCUGGUAGAACACUAAUAUUGUGUUAUUAAAAUGAUGGCUUUUGGGUAGGCAAAACUUCUUUUCUAAAAGGUAUAGCUGAGCGGUUGAAACCACAGUGAUCUCUAUUUUCUCCCUUUGCCAAGGUUAAUGAACUGUUCUUUUCAAAUUCUACUAAUGCUUUGAAAUUUCAAAUGCUGCGCAAAAUUGCAAUAAAAAUGCUAUAAACC